ensembl:lncRNA
GGGAUCCUGAGAUUUGGCCUCGGCCUUGGAGGAGAGGUCUCCUUGGUCCUUAAACCAACCUGGGUUGGGAGGCGGGCUCGCCAUUGAUCUGAAGGUGUUACCGGCACCAACCAAUAACACGGUGACCUGCAUUUCCUGAGAUAGGCUGCCCCCAGACCGUGCAGAGAGGGGUCUGGUCAUUUCAAAACUUCAGGCUCAAAUUUGAUCCCAAACUUUCUUCUUCCUCCACAAGGAGUCCCAUGGAGCCUGAAUAAUUGACAGUGUGGUCAGCAGCUGACCGCUACUUCCAAGCGUGGUGGAAAUUGACUGGGUCAACAUUUACUGCCCCAGCCCCAGGAGGCCCCGGGGGUCAGAGGGACUGCCUGGCUCUACAGAGUGGAGAGAGGAGCUCACCCCUGGAAGAACUAAGGACCUUCUUCCAAUAAGAACCAUGCAGGGAGGAUGGGAUGGUCCUCCAACCAGAUCCUAAGGCGAAGGAGACCUACGUUGUAGAUGAAGGAAUACUGGUACCAGCAGUCUGGGGGCUACAGUUCAGAGGGUCCUCACCUUCUUGGUGUCCUGGACCCCUCUGGCAUCAAGGGAAUAGUGUGGACCUCUUCUCAGG